GCCGAAGUGGCGGAAUUGGCAGACGCGCUAGAUUCAGGGUCUAGUGGGCUUUAACGCCCGUAGGGGUUCGACCCCCCUCUUCGGCA
rnacentral:tRNA from 1 species